rnacentral:misc_RNA from 1 species
GAUGAAGAACGUAGCGAAAUGCGAUAAGUAAUGUGAAUUGCAGAAUUCAGUGAAUCAUCGAAUCUUUGAACGCACAUUGCGCCCCUUGGUAUUCCGAGGGGCAUGCCUGUUCGAGCGUCAUUAUAACCCCUCAAGCUCAGCUUGGUGUUGGGGCCUGCUGCACUGGCAGCCCUUAAAAUCAGUGGCGGCGCCAUCUGGCUCUAAGCGUAGUAAUUCUUCUCGCUAUGGAGUCCUGGUGGAUGCUUGCCAUCAACCCCCAAUUUUUCUAUGGUUGACCUCGGAUCAGGGAGGGAUACCCGCUGAACUUAAGCAUAUCAAUAAGCGGAGGA